rnacentral:rRNA from 1 species
UUGACCUCAAAUCAGGUAGGACUACCCGCUGAACUUAAGCAUAUCAAUAAGCGGAGGAAAAGAAACUAACAAGGAUUCCCCUAGUAACUGCGAGUGAAGCGGGAAAAGCUCAAAUUUUGAAUCUGGCGGUCUCCGGCCGUCCGAGUUGUAAUCUAGAGAAGUGCUUUCCGCGCUGGACCGUGUACAAGUCUCCUGGAACGGAGCGUCAUAGAGGGUGAGAAUCCCGUCUCUGACACGGACCCCCAGUGCUUUGUGAUGCGCUCUCGACGAGUCGAGUUGUUUGGGAAUGCAGCUCAAAUUGGGUGGUAAAUUCCAUCUAAAGCUAAAUACAGGCGAGAGACCGAUAGCGAACAAGUACCGUGAGGGAAAGAUGAAAAGAACUUUGGAAAGAGAGUUAAACAGUACGUGAAAUUGCUGAAAGGGAAACGCUUGAAGUCAGUCGCGUCGGCUUGAGAUCAGCCUUGCUCUUUUGCUUGGUGUAUUCUCUCGUCGACGGGUCAGCAUCAAUUUUGGUUGCCGGAUAAAUUCAGGGGGAAUGUGGCACCUUUCGGGGUGUGUUAUAGCCCUCAGUUGUAUACGGUGACUGGGAUUGAGGAACUCAGCACGACCUUCGGGUUUGGGGCUUCGGCCUACAUUCCGUGCUUAGGAUGCUGGCAUAAUGGCUUUAAUCGACCCGUCUUGAAACACGGACCAAGGAGUCUAACAUGCCCGCGAGUGUU